rnacentral:lncRNA from 1 species
GAAAUUGUUUCUUUUGCCAUAGCCUUAACAGGGGAAUUACCUUGCCAAAUUGAGCUGCGUGGUUUGAUAUGCUGUUUCCUAAUAGUACCAAUAAAGAAGGAAAGGUUUCAUAUGAUCCAAUUUUAUAAGGACUGCACCAGCACCUGAAGAGGGAGGCAUAUGUCAUCCAUUGUGUAAUAAAAGAGCCAUUUGCUGAUGAGGUGUCUGCAUUACUGAGCGAGCGCUGGCACCAUGGGAGGCAGCUCGUGCUUUCAUGUCUCACCCUCGUCCUGGUCCUGCUCCCAGCCCCGCCAGGCACCGCGCUCUGGAAGAUGGUCUCAUUCUUGUCUGGACAUACAGCUGUCUUUACCCCUCCCUCCGAAUAACCACUGGGAUUAAUGUCAGCAGUUACUGCAGGGGAUCCAUCGAGGGUGUGGAGCAAAAGGGAAAAGUUCUGUCUAGCCGAGAAAAUAAAAGAAAUUGCAGAAAAUCAGAGGGUGUUUCUGGCUGCUUGGCCCCUGGUUUGAAUGCAGUGAGAAUGCAGUUUCUUCCCCUUCUUCCAAGGCUUGUUGUUUGAAGGCUUUUUAAU